GAACUGACAUCACAAGCAUGUCUUCUCGCUGCCACUUCUCUACGGCCGUUUCAUUUGAGACCUCUUCCGAGUCUUCUCCCUGAGUAAUGAGCUGUGGAGCUUCACCAUCCGUGAGAUGCUUCCACAAACCCUUACUUCCCACUGUGGUUCUCACCAUCCGAGACCACACCAAGUAGUUACUCCCCUUGAAAGUAACUGCCACCUUCAUGUGCAUGCUUAUCCCUCCAUCCAUCUUCAACAGCUUGUUCUUGAACUACUUGUAGAAGACUUUGAACUUGAGACUAGACUGCACCAACACGUUAAGAACUUCACAACACACACGCAAAAGCUUUAAUCUUGUAACCACAACGUAACCAAGGAAGACUUGAGGCUAGAGACUCCACGGAACCUUCAAAGCUUUAGUCUUUAGCCCACGCAAAGAACUCAGAUUCUCAAGAACCUGGCUCUGAUACCAUAUAAGUUUUAGAGUAUAAAGAGUAAUCUGAGAGUUUAGGAGAGAUUAGAGAAGUAUUAGAGAUGAUUUAGAGUAGAAUCUGAGAUCGAGAGACUAAGAGAAAAGCCAUGGAGGCUAAGAAUAAUCUGAACUGUCUAAUCUUUAUUAUGGAUGAGGUUACA
rnacentral:lncRNA from 1 species